AAACCAUUAUUCACAACUUAUAGUACACACUUAUUCACAAAUGCAUUUCCAUUUUCGCCUUAAACUAUAGAACAAAUGUGAUCAAUUUUCUGAAAUAGAUGAGGAGUGGAAUCGCUGUGCGCAAGGCAAAGAUCACAGCCAGAAACUACGACACAGCCCCUGUGCGUGCAUGAGGUUCUCGUCUGUAGGCAUUUUAUUAUGGAAGCAUCGCCAGGCAAUAAAUGAUGCAUAUGGUGGUACACAAACAUGCCAAAGCCAAGCAGUCCAAUCUACCCGCUGUUGUGCCGGAAAAAAGAAUUCAUAGGCUUGGUUUGCAGUCAAAUUACCGUCCUUGGAAGAGUGCCAAACAAACCUGUCGUCAAGAGGUUGCUUAGGAACUNNNNNNNAUGUUAGAAUAUGCAUUCAACAUAAAGGAUGAUCUAAAGCUCAAUAUUAAUAAAUAAAAGCAUUCAUGAUUUUCGAUUAAAAUCCUCUUGAGGUGGAUCAUACUUCCGGAUAAGUAUGACUCACAGUAUAGUAACCUCUCAAUCGAAAUCUAAAAUCCUCUUGAUGUUUGGCACUAAAGUGCGGCCAUCCGAAGA
rnacentral:lncRNA from 1 species